GGGGACGUGGCGGAACUGGCAUACGCGCAUGCUUGAGGGGCAUGUGCCGCAAGGCUUGGAGGUUCAAAUCCUCUCGUCCCCA
rnacentral:tRNA from 1 species